GGGCUGUAAAUGCCGUUUUUAACAGUUUAAAGGGCUAAACUUUUGUACUUGGGAUACUUGGUGAGUUUUUUUGGGGUUGGCACUGUUCACUUAAUCUGCCGAGUAAUAAGCAUCUCAGAGCUUCAAUAUCCAUUUGAGUGUCUGGGAGGAAAUGGUUUCUCUUUCCUCGUGGCUCCAUGUGACAAGACCGUUUCUUUUCAGCUUCCUGCCUGUGUCGAGGCUUGGUGUGUUUCUUCACCUAUCCAUAAACGUGUGCUUUCUGUUGUCGACUCUAUACCCACGUGCAUUCUCAUUCCACCCUAUUAUUGGAUGUUACGUUCGGCUAAUUGGACUAGUGCAAGAUGCUCUGUGGAAGGAAUUAUAGGUGUUUGUUGGGAUUUUUUGUUUUGUUUUAUUUUUUACUCUAUGCAGUUCAUGCCAAAUUCAUAAGCUGGGGCAUUUUUGACAGAUUCAGCUUCAUGUGAGCAUCGUCAGCAUUUGUUCUGUAUAUGCUACUGCAUCUCUGUCUGCCUACAUACCAACAGUAGUCUGUUUGCUCUAGGAAUGUAAGUUAAACUUUGGAGAAUUGGGUUGUUUUGUUUUUUUUAGUAAAUAGGAAUGGCAGAAGUCAACAUUAAAUUAUCACUACCAUUCCUAGCAAAUUUGAAGCAUUUUUAGUGUGCCUAUGCUCCCACUGUUGAGCACCAAACAAUCAUGGUACUAUCAUGCAGCAGAAGUUUAUGAACAUAUGCACACAGUUAGUUUCCCAUAAAAGAAAUACUAAGAUAAUUCUACACUAUAAAUGAGUAUUUUUACUGAAAUUACAGUUUAACUGACUUACAUAUAAAUAGCUGUUUGAUACAGUUCAUAAUAUUUCACAUAUACAAAUUUAUGUUUAGACUUAGUCCAUGUGAAGCCAGUGGCUUAAUUUCUGUGCUAUCUGGCCAGGCAAUUACAGGCUCAGAGGAAAACUUUACUUGCUGAUUGUCUAAAAAUCACUAUUUUAGAAAGACUCAUAUCCAAUGGAAUCUGUGCUAGCACAGCUUCAGUGUCAGUGGUAUCAAUUAGUGUUAUUUUAGCGGUCCCAUGUCAACAGCCAUGAAAUGGCUUGUGGCUCACAGUGCGGUUUUGGGCAUGUUGCAUACAAACAGGAUGGGGGAAUGGGGGAAAAAAGACUUUUAUACAGUAAUUUCUCAUUUUGACUGUGAUAGAAUGAUUCCAAAUGUUUAAACUUCAUUUGAACUGGUUUUGAGAACAGAUGUUGAAGGAUAUAAAGAAGUAAUCAGAAUGACUGGAUUACUGUGAUUUAGUGACUUCAUAUACUUGUUAGCAUGUAUGUGGUCUAUUACUGCAGCUCAUCUCCUUGCCUGGUCCCAUUGCAAAGGGGAAGAAUCAAUGUGCUUGCAUGUCUAGUUUACAAGAUACAGUCAGAGGGAAACACAGAUUGUGCCUCAGAGAAAAUUCAUAGAUAUAUGAGUGGGUGUCAACAAAGUUAGUGAAGCUUUGAGAUUCUCUCUAAAACAGGUAGCUGGCUUUGGUUCAUGCUCAAUCUAGCCUGCCUAUUGAGUGUAGACUAGAGCAUAUUAUCACCCCUAUCAAGUCAAGGCCUGUAAUAAUUUUUUGUAUUCCAAAUGUUAUUUACACAGCUUGGACGGACACAGUCCUAGAUUCUUUGAUGGAAGUGUGGUGGCACAGGAAUAUAAAGGGAAACUGGUUUGGUAAAACAAUAUUAACUUAGCUAAAGCUCUGAUUCUUAAUAAUUCUUCCUGUCUGGAAAGCACAAGGCAGUGCUGGACAACUGUAGCUCUGUGUUUAAGUACUGUGACAGUGAAUUUCUGAGCAAGAGGGAACAUUCCGAAUGAGUCCCAAAAUAGAAGCCAGUUAAGUCUGUAAGUCCGAGAAUUUAAUGUUCUAUGGAAUCCUAUCCUAUCCUAUGGAAUUCUAUGAGCUAGCUUGUGCCUCAAAAUAUCUGGAUGCAAUUCUUCAGCCAUUAUUCUGUUAGCUCAUCCCUUAGUCAAUUAGCAAGCUAGAAAAGCAAACUGAAUGAAAAGGGUGUCAGUACUACUUGCUAAGGCCUUUAAUUGUUUCUUCAUGUUGUGUUAUUGAAGUCUUUUGUCACAAAGUCCUGGAAAAGUGAAUGGCUGAGACUUUCAAUGUUCCUGGUACCAAACACACCUUGUGAACCCUUAAGCACAAUACAGAACUCUACGCAAGUGUUCAGGAUACUGUAAGCAAAAUCCAAAGAUGAACUGCCCAGAUGGACUGUUGUGCUUUCAUUGAAUCCACUGAAGUGAAUAGGGCCUGAUGCAGCACUAGUAACAUCAAGACCUUGUUUUCCAGCAAUGUAGCUCAAGUGACAUUGAGGAGAAACUGUGCGGUUACCCAGCUGUACCGACACCAUUAGGAAGCUUGUUCUGGAUCACAGUGGGACAAAAAGGAGAAGCAUCAAUUAAAACAUCACCAUGCUGGUUCAACAAUUCAGUUCACUUCUGCUGGUAAGAAAGGACAUUGCCUGAUGACAUGGGAGGUGGGUGGAUGGGCACACAGAACUCAUUGCUGAGCUACUGAAGUUGGAAAGGCUAUGGUAAAUGAAUGACGUUUGAGCGAGGUGUGAAAUGUGAAGGUACAAAAUUAACUGCAAAAUUAUUGAAGGAGCUAAAUUGUGUAAAGAGAACCUAUAUAUACUUAUCAGAAUAUGCAAUGCAGAUGUAACCCAGGGAAUUGCUUCCAAGCUCCUAGAACAUAAAAAAUCUGUAGAAGCUAGCUGAGAAUUCUGCAAGCAUGUCUGAAUGCCAAAUCAACUGAGCAGCUCCCUGGCUCAUGCACAUGCAAAACAUUUGAAUUUCCUGUUGGCUCAGAGUGUUUGCAUUGCAAGUGACAUCUGGCUGACAGGAACUUGGAGAAAUGGGAUACAAAGUGAAUGCUGCAGUUACCACGGUAUCAUAUUUAUCAAAAGGCUUAAGAUUAGCUACCCAGGAAGAGAGUCAGAAAUAGAAAUCAUUAGCUACAGAGACAGAUGUACAGCUGAACUCUUACCAUUUGUGUGUGUGAAACCAAAGUGAAAGUCCUACCCAGAAGGUUGUUCAGCUGCUCUGAAGCUCUGUAAGGGCUGAAGAGUUCUUGAACAGGAGGUAAUCUGACACAAAGUGUAUUUACAGUAUAGAUACCUGAUGUAUUACUUCAUCAGCAAAUUCAACAAGGCCAGGAUGUCUUCAUUUCCUUCAGAGCAAGAGCAGUAAGAGCAGUGUGGUGGAAGUAUUGGUCUUGUGUGGCCAGCCGGCGAGAGCCAUCAGCAGCUGUGAUGAGCAGAGCAGACAUGGGAGACAGGAGGCAGCUCAAGCCAAAGAGGACCCACGCCUGGAGCUGUGUCUGUGUGAUUGGAGCAGAGAGAGGCCAGGACCCAAGGAAAUCCCAGCAGCAAGGGAAAAAAACAGAUUGACUCUCAGUGACUCAUUUAGCUCCUGGAUUGGACAGAUCUCUCCCCUGCUGGCAAUUUGGCUGAGCAUCAAUGGACAGAUACCAGGAUGAAUAGCUUAAAAUAAUUAGGGGUUGGGAAUUUGCAAAACUGCUAGCCAUCCAAUUCUUUACUGUGCAAUGUGAGGCAGAAAAAAAGAAAUUACAUUUAGGUUAUUAAAUAUUAAGUCAGUGGAUUUACUUCCAUUUGGUGCAGAACAGGAAACUGGCUAAAAUUCAACAUUUAUAUCAUUGUGUUGAUGGUCUGUUUAUCACUGAGCAAGUAAGUGCCUUUUGGCAGGUCAAGCUCUUUGACACAUGGGGCAAAUGUGUGCUUAAUUUCUCUCAAACAGAAGAAUUAAUAUAAUAAUAAUUAACACAGAUGAGAACAGAAUUAAAAUCAAGUACAGUCAAGAGUUCAGUUUAAUGCCAGGUGUCUCACAUUCUAAAUGUUCUGGGGCCAGAUUUUUCCUGUUGAAGGUAGCAAGGAUUUUUGCCUUUGUCACUUAUGGGAGCUGAAGUGGGCCUUGGAUGUAGAGAGACAGGAUUCCCUGUACUUUCUAUUUAAUGCACAAAACCAGAAGCAACAGGCUCAUUUAGUAUCAGUAAAGGUCAGUUAAAAUUAUAGAGACAUCCUUUGGAGCAAAUCCUCUGCCUUGUAUUUGCAUAUUUAUGAAUUAGAGAUUACGACAGGCUAUUUCAUUUAUUAGAGCAGCACUGCUAUAGUUAAUAGUCUGUCAGUAUUUCCAUUAUAAACCCCGUUUUUCAGUGUUUAAUAUCUCAGCCAUUUAAAAUCACAUCAGGAAGCAGCUUGGUCUUAUGUUGCUGGCCAGGUGCAUUUUUUUGUUAUGGAUUAUUUUCGAUAAUGAAAUACUGCUCAUCAUAUAUGCAGAUGAGCCACAGCAUUUCUGUUGGAGGGACAUAGAAAGGUGUGUAAAUUCAUUGUGGCUUUGUUUUUCUUUAGGAAAGAAGGGAAAAGGGGGAUUUGACCAAGCAUGUCAACUGUGGCCUUAUGUUUGAAGAGCACUUUUUGAAGCAACUCUUUCAGAGGAAACACUGGUUCUCAGUAGGAAAUCAGGUUGCUGUUUGCUUGCCAGUGGUGACCAAGAUAAACAAGUGAGGAUAGUUACCCUGUCCCUCUGAAAAAUCUUGUCUACAAGUCAUGGGUAAAGCACCCCAGGAAAGAAUGCAGUGAACAUAGAAGAGCCUUUAGAAGUAACAGGAGACCAAAUUACACAUUCAGAAAGCUGGCCACUUUUUAAGUAUCUGCCAGCAGCAGAGAAAUGCAGUACUGUCCUGACUUUAUUGCUGAUAUUUGGGGUAGAGGGGAUGCUAAGGCUUUAGGGGCAGUUAUAAAGUUACUUGCAUGUGUCCCUAAACUGAACAAUGUCAUUUAUUUCAGCAGUCUCACAUCAUUCUCCUUCCAAGCAGCCCCACUUUGCUUUCAUAGAGAUGUUAGUUCACUAAAAAGUAACUGCCUGACAAGGGCAAAUGUUCAGACUAAAAUACCAAUUUUUAACUUGCUAGGGCAGCAAAAAGUUACUCUUCAUAGUAGCUGAAAGAAGCUGGUCUUGCACUAUAACCUCAUGCCCUAUGAAAAAAGAAACAGUCUAAACAGAAACUCCUGGGGAGUGGUUUGUUUUCAAGGUCUUGAAAAAUCAUUUGCUGCCUCAGUAACUGACAAGUUAGAAAUCAAAUUCAUGAAGAGAAAAAAAAUGAAGCUAUAUUCAAAAUAUCUUUUGUUCUUUUGCCUCACAAACACAGUUGGAGGUGGGAACAUAGUCCAUAUUUUCCAUCUUUCUCAUCAUAAAGGUCUAUGUGCACAACUGAGGGUUCCAGGGAAACUAGCAAUGGCAGACCAAAAACACUCUGAAACAUCAUAUUCAAUCCAUUUGGUGCAUUGCAGCUAAUCAAACUAUGCCCUAGGCAAGACCCAGGGCUUGGCCUCUGUGCCACCUUCUGUAAAUUUUGACUGAAUCAAGAUUAACAGCAAGUUUAGAAGUUAUAUUACACAAAAAAAAAAAAAAAAAAUUAAGCUCAUGUAAGACAAGAUUGCAACAAAAAGUCUCUGUUCUUAAAUCCCCCAAAUCCAAAUGGUGAGCCAGACUGUUCAUCCAGUCUCUCAUCAACAUCAUGAGAACUAAGAGACCAAAUCAAGACACUCCACUCAGGCUUAUGGAAAAUCUGUUCCAAAUCCAAGUGGCAAGGGCUAAUCAGUAGUGCUUUCUUAAAACAACAAUAUUUGGGAUAUUUUGUAAAUAAUUGCUAACUAAAAGCGCAUUUUCCAGACUUCUUCCAGAGUUGCCAUUGUAAAAAAAAAAUAUUCCUUCCCUAGGCACAUCACAGUGCCUUUUCAGCCAAAAAUUAUCUCUGGUUGUGAGAAGUGAUCAUAACUCAAAAGGAGGCAGACUACAGAAAUUCUAACUGUUUUGAAUACAAAAUUACUUCAAAAGUCUUAUAAAAAAGGUAUAAUCCAAAGUAAGGGGGGGAGGGGGUUUCUGCCAAACAUGUAGAAAAUGUCAUAUAUUUUAAAAUGAAGUAUGAAGUAUUACAUGCUGUCUGCUGGAAAUUCUGUCCAGGUUCAGUAAGCUAUCUGGACAGCAUUGUUUACUAGAUACAUUUGUUAUUCUUUGUCUUUAAUUUGCUGUGACAUAAAAUCUUGCACAACUGACUUGAGUGCAUCUUUGAAUACUAAAAAUACUAAUUAUUAUGUAAUUAGUCAACAGGAUGUGUGUAAUUGUGCAAUACCAGCAUUCCUGGGUGUGGUUAAGUACAUAGGUAGAAUGCCAACACUCAUCUAGAUGUAGUAUUAUAAAGUUACACAACAACAUACACCCUGGGUGGAUACUCUAAUUAUAUUUUAUAUUUAAACAAUAGCUACAUUAGCAAAAUAGAACUUAUUAUUUUUAAAAAUAUCUUCCCACAGGCAUGGAUCAUAGUAGAUGAUGGUAAUAAUAUUGCCCAAACAGAGUAUCUUCCAUCUCCCAAGGGACUCAGCCUUCUUCCUAAACAUACAGAUAGGAGACAGAAACCAGGCAUAAAGAGGCCUUCAUUUACUCAUGGCAUAAAAACCACCCCAAAACAGACAUGUGACAAUUGCUGAGUCAUGCACCAGAAUAAUUGAAGGCAGAGAAUCACCAGGAAGGACUUUCUAUCUCAUGAAGAAUCACAUGAGAUUAACCAGAAAUGUGACUAGAACGGUUAUAUUUUUAUGACUUAACAAACAUCAGGAGAGUCCUUAAGCCACAGUGGAAACAGAACCACACAGUGAAUCAGAUUCUUCUUUGAACUAACCCAGAAAGAUUUAGGUUACAGCCAUCAAAUGUCUUGAACAUUUGAGUUAAUUCUGAUCUCUGCUAAGAUUUACUGCCAGUGUGAUGUAAAAGUCUGCUGCACUCCCAGCUAAAACUUCCCUGCCUGGUCAUCCUUCAUUCUUCCUGUGGUUCAUCUGCAGUGGCUGACAGGUAUGCAUGUCACUGGGACCAGUACUACAGAGAUGGUAACUUAUGCAGUACAAACAGAAAACAUGGCACACCAGUAUUUAUUCUCUUUUGAUAUGGCUUCAAGGUGAGAAAUCCAGGAGAAGAAUGGAAAGGUGAAAAUUCCAACACCAAAAACAAACCAAACCAAAAAACCCUAAGCUGUGACUCAUCAUUGAUGUAAAAUGUCAGAGCCUAAAGCUGUCUUUUUUUUCAUGUGCCUGGGUGCAGAAGGGUGAGGUGCCCUCUAAGGAUGAUUUUAUCUUUUACUUUUGAGUCUGAAAAUCUUGGAUGUGGUUUGGCAAGUUCAUAAAAAAUAUUGUGAUGAAGUUGAGUUGCCAUCUGGAAAUUAUAAAUAUAGAGAUGUAAGAAAGCUUGAGGAGAAAACCGAAGAUGAUGGAAGAAGAAUCAGCAGCGCACAUGAAUGAGGUUAAAAACGGCAGACAAUUAGCUACAAGAUGACUCCUACUAAAUAAAUCAUCAAAGACUUGACUACUGCUUCCAGGUUUCUACUGUGAUAUUAGCUCAUUGGAACAGUCAAAAAGAUGUUAAUUUGGCCAAAGUUUUAGAAAUGUUCUACUCUUGUUUGAAUUAACAGAUCAACAAACAAGGCCAAUCUAUAAUGUCUUGCCAAGGCUAUAAAGCUUCUAGGGAAGCUGUUAUAUUUAAUGCUCAGGAUCAAGGGCCCCAUGAUAUGCAAAAUAAGCCUCUUUGUGUUAAAUGAAAGCUGCACAGGAAAGAAAACCUGAGCUUGUCAUGGAAUUUCACAUCUCGUUUCAGCAUUCAAUAAAGUGCUUUGGGUGUCCAAUUUAAUAGAGAAGCACAAUUUAUUUUUUCAGUAUGCCUCUGCAGAUCAGGCCUUGCUCUGUUCUCAUUUAGACUUUAAUCUAAGAUUCAAAGUAAAAACAAAAUAUUCCAGUUGCUUCCAACAGGCAUCCAGUCAGUCUUGUGCCAAGGUUUUACUUAAAUGCAAAUUCAGUGCUAAGUUCCUCCCAAGAAAAAGAGGGGAAAGUGAUAGGAGUCUGCACACAACUUUCCAUCCUCAUGUUAUAUGCUGCUGAUAGAACCUAUCCUCUGACUUGGCAAAAACUUCUUAAUUUGUCUGGUCUUUCUGCAGGGUUGACUGGUAUUAAAAAAAUUCUCACCUCAACCUUCUUUAUUGCUGCAUCAAGGCAGCUCACUACAGUUGUACUCUUUUCUACUGCUUGAGAUUUACUUGUGUUCCUGGUGUGUUGUGAUAAGCCUCUGAAUGUCACUGCUGUGAAGGUUUUGUUCUUCCCAAAGACUCUCCUGAGGUUCAGCGAAGGCAAGUAGGGUUUGCUUGGGUUUAAAGGUAAAUUGUGUAUGUCACUAUAAUAAAGGGAAAUAUGCAAAGUGUUGGUUGAAUUUAAAAGGAAUUUGGAAUACUUGACUUGUCACAAGGCCAGUUGAUAAUAUGUGGACUUCUGAAAUUGCUUAUAGCAGGAGGACCUUACCCCGUGGUGAGUGCCAGGUCAAGGCCUAGUUCUCACAUACAUCUUCAAUUUAAACCAUCUUCAGAAUUAGUCCUAAGUCUUACUAUCACUCAGUAGUGUAAAAUAAAAAACAUGAUCUGAAAAACACUAGAGAGAAAUACUGGAGUUUUGCACAUCAAAAAGGCUAAUUAGAAACUCUUUUCUUUUAUAACAAAUAAGCCAAGCAUAUUGACAUUAAUUAUAGGAAAUACUCAAGGUCUGGAAUAAUCUAUUGAAGAGCACAGAUGUAUACCAAAUCCUAUGUAAAUGAGUGUGUGCAACUGUUCUUCAGGUAACACAUUUAUUUAUAAAAGUGAGCUGUGUGUUCGGGUUCCUUUUCAAGGGGUAAAAAAGGUUUCUUUCUCUUCCUUGCUCUUAUUCAACACAGUGAGAUAGUUAUUUCUGUAGUUAUACCUGUUCAUCACAGAUGCAUUCCAGGGGCUUGGAGCAGAUUCCUCCUGUACCUGAAGUAGUAGUAGUUCUGUUUGCUUUAUUCCGAUUAAUUCUGCAGUUGUUCUGUCAGCUUUACUGGAAUUGGAUCACCAUAACUAGCAGCAGAAUUUGUUCUCCUCUGGUGGUAAAAUUCCUUUGGUUUCAAAAAAGCUAAUGGAAUUCAUAACUGCUUUUGUAUUUUGCAAUCUGUGUCCCAGAGCUGACUAGUCACAUUGGUUUCUUAAAAAAAUACUACAACUACGAUUUGCUACAUUGCCCAUUAGUUUUGCCAGUGGAGACUCUUAACAACGCUGGGAAGAAAAUUUCACAUAUCCCUUCUUUUACCCUGUCUGGCUGCAAAGAAAUCCUCUUAACUUUUGAUAGCUUUACUUCAUGGGGGAAAGGUUCUUCUCUGUCAGGGCCAUGACAGGUGGGCUCAGCAGGCUGAAUCAUUCCACCCCAAAUGCUCCUUCCAUCUUACUCGCUGCCUCUAUACAGAUGAAAGAUGCUGUGCUUUCCAGGUCUAAUUUCAUUAAUGGAUCUCCCAAAUACUUGUCUGAGCGUACUCCUUAAAUUAGAUGAGAUGUCUACCUGCACUGUGGCCACUGUAGAUUAUCACCCAGCUGGGACUGGUAUGCUUCCUGAAGCCUGCUCCACAAUCUCCAAACUAUCCUACAAAUGUCAGGGCUUAGCACUUAUGCUCUUAGAAACACCCACCUGCAAGGGCAUAUGUUGGUAGUGAACUGUUGCUCUCUCCCAUCACUAGCAGAGAAUAUUAAUGUUGCCAUUGCUGGUUCAACUCCUUUAAUUCUCCCAAUUUUCCUAAAAAUUGUCCUAACAUUUCACAGGUGCGUCCAGAGCUACUGUGUCGGCACAAGUCCCAAAAAUCUCAUGAUAAAGUGUCUGCUUUCACUUCUUAGAUUCAAGCUGAUUAAAGGAUUUGAGGAAAAGUGCUGUGGGCAAUGAAGAACAAUGAAGAUCAUUUAGAUGAGCUGCAGUGCUACUGGUUCAAAAGAUGGGAUGAGUGGUAAAUUUUUCUGCAAAUCCGAAGGAACCAGAACAGGGAUGGUCAGCUUAGCAAGAGAAACCAAGGCACCAGUUGUAUGAUGUGAAGUGCUGCUGAAGUCAGUGGAGUUGCACUGCUAUAAAACCAGAUACAACAGAGCAGGUACUUAGCACUUAUGAAAUGCAAGCUCAAGGCAGGCUGUGAGGAACAUCUGCACUUAGAGAAGUCCUUCUGGAAAGCCAAUGGAAAUUAUUUGCUCAAAUAUUAUGCUCCUCCAGCAAUCAGUGGAACUAUUAGUUAACCUGAGGGUGGUCUCUUGCCCACUGCGAGCAUGGCAGGAUCCAUGUGAGGGGACAGAGGAAGAUACAGGCUCACAUUCCAGCAAAGAUGUCCACAGAGGGAUGCACUUCCCCCUGAGGAGCUAUCAGGUCCCUCUGACACCACUGCCUUCUAACACGGACGUUCUCCAGCCUGCAUCAGUCAUCACAGGACACAGCUCUUUUCAUACCUUCUUCCCAACGCUGUGCUGAGGCUCCUGUGGAAUUGCUGUCUGUCUGUCAGCGUUCCUACCUGUGCCUGUGGUCAGUGCUGAUACUCAGGUUUCACAUCAACCAGGAAUGGUACAAGCUUGGCCAGGGACUCCAGGCAGUGGCUGGUGGGUUCUGCAAGGCCUAGGGGCAGGAGCACUGUGGCUUCCCAGGAAUAUCACAAGCAAAUAGUUGUCAGCAAGCCCCAGGUGCACACAGGUAAGCCCAUCAGAUUGCUUUAAACUCUCAUCCCUUGUAUGAGCGUGAAAAUAAUCACCAUGUCAGAUAAACUUCUGCUUUUUAUUAAAAAAGAAAAAAACAAACAAAACAAACAAAACUUAUAAGGUAAUUGAUUGCUUUCUUCUAGUCUUUUAUUAGUUAUGAUUAAGGAGCUAUAGUAGCCCUGUUUACACAGCUCUAACAAGUCAGGACCUGCAGAAUGUUAUUGGCUUGGGGCCCACAACUUGCUGUCCAUUCUCAACAGAAUCAAUCUGGAGCUGAAAACAUCCCCGUAGGAAGCGUACACAUCCCUGCUUAUACAGGAACAGAAACAGCAAUAACUUCAGGUCCUGUAAGCUGCAAGUUCAACUUACAGAGAUCAGCCCUGACUUGUCAUCGCUCUCAGCAUGUUGGUGAUGAGAUCAGAGCACUUCACCAAGGACUCAUACUUCCAGCUUGACAAGGGACAGAGGUGAGCGUGUUACACCUCACUGUUCCUCGCCUCCAACUGCAGAAACGAAUCGAGAGCUCCUCUGUUUAACAUGCAGCCACAGCACUGCCAAUCUAAAAUGGCUGAUCAGUAAUACUUUAAUUGCAGUUUCAUAGAAACAAAUUGCUAUUUAAUUGCAAUAAGCUUGUCUGUGGCUUAGCUGGACUGACAAUAGGCAUACACCUGGUAGUAACAGUAACAAGCAUCAAGGGUUAUCUGGUACUGCAUGUACAGGAGUCUUAGGCAGUGCCAUCAAACUCAGAACACAAUUUCAAACUAAUUAAAUGUGUAACUUAAACAAAUGUAUAUACAUAAAUUUCCUAAUCUCAAUUUGAUUUUGUAAUAGAACCGUUCAGAAUAAAUACUUGGAAAAAGCUACACACUUCACAUACAACUACCAGAAAAACACUUUGAUAAAAGAUUUAAAUUGAAAUGAUCUUUUGAAAUCACAGAAC